rnacentral:miRNA from 1 species
UUGGGGACAUUAGAAGUAGAAGC